rnacentral:rRNA from 1 species
UUGUCCUACGGGAGGCAGCAGUGGGGAAUAUUGGGCAAUGGGCGCAAGCCUGACCCAGCAACGCGGCGUGAAGGAAGAAGGCCCUCGGGUUGUAAACUUCUUUUGUCAGGGACGAAACAAAUGACGGUACAUGACGAAUAAGCCACGGCUAACUACGUGCCAGCAGCCGCGGUAAUACGUAGGUGGCAAGCGUAAUCCGGAUUUACUGGGUGUAAAGGGCGUGUAGGCGGGAGAGCAAGUCAGAUGUGAAAUUCCAGGGCUCAACCCUGGAACUGCAUUUGAAACUGUUUUUCUUGAGUGAUGGG